CCUACGGGAUGCAGCAGUGGGGAAUAUUGCACAAUGGGGGAAACCCUGAUGCAGCGACGCCGCGUGAAUGAAGAAUUAAUUCGUUAUGUAAAGCUCUAUCAGCAGGGAAGAAAAUGACGGUACCUAAGUAAGAAGCCACGGCUAACUAAGUGCCAGAAGCCGCGGUAAUACGGAGGGGGCCAGCGUUAUCCGGAUUUACUGGGUGUAAAGGGAGCGUAGACGGCAGUGCAAGUCGGGAGUGAAAGGGGGGGGCUCAACCCUCGGAUUGCUGUGGAUACUGUACGGCUUGAGUGCAGGAGAGGUAAGUGGAAUUCGUGGUGUAGCGGUGAAAUGCGUAGAUAUUAGGAGGAACACCAGUGGCGAAGGCGGCUUACUGGACUGUAACUGACGUUGAUGCUCGAAAGCGUGGGGAGCAAACAGGAUUAGAUACCCUUGUAGUC
rnacentral:rRNA from 1 species